CCCCUAGAUGUUCUGGGCCGCACGCGCGCUACACUGAACAGUUCAACAAGUCUUAACCUUGGCCGAUAGGUCUGGGUAAUCUUUGAACGCUGCUCGUGAUUGGGAUAGACCUUUGCAAUUAUGGGUCUUCAACGAGGAAUUCCUAGUAAACGCAAGUCAUCAGCUUGCAUUGAUUACGUCCCUGCCCUUUGUACACACCGCCCGUCGCACCUACCGAUUGAAUGGUCCGGUGAAAUCUCGGGACGGCGGCUUGGUCGCUUGCGUCCGACUGCUGAAACUUGAUUAAACCAUAUCAUUCAGAGGAAGGUGAAGUCGUAACA
rnacentral:rRNA from 1 species